rnacentral:lncRNA from 1 species
UCUUGUUACACAUUUACGUUGUCUCAGUCUCCCCUCUUAAGCCAGCUUCACACAAGCAAUAGACCUUUCCCCUUAUGAGUGAAAUUUUGAUCUAGACAAGUCUGGACAAAAAUUUCAUCACAGCUUGAAAGGGCAUCACAAAAUUAGUAAUAUUCCGAAGUUUCGUUGCGAAAUGUUGUAAAAUGCGGAUAUUAUAGCCCUGUGAAGUUUGCCGUUUUUCAGUCAUUUGAUCAAACUGAU